GGCUCCGUGCUGGCCUUGCGGGGACACGCUCCGUGCCGUGCUGGCAGUGGUUCAGCGGGCCCUGCAGCUGUGUGCCGCACAAAGGCUGUACACGGGGCUGUGGUGGCACCGUGCCACGUGUGUGAGCUGGGCCCGGACCGUGCUGGCCCCGCGGGGCACCGGAGACUCUCAUUAGACUUACGAACUGCAUGCACCACGGCCUCUGUGUUUUACUGGGGGUGUGUGGUGGGGGUAGCCGUGGUGGUGACAAGAGGAUGGCCACAGGGGGACGACCAUGGUGAAGACUGGGGGAUGGCCAAGGUAAUAAGAGGGACAGCUAUGGUGCUGACAAAGCUCUGAUGGUAACCAGGGGACAGCCCCUGUGGAAACUGGAAAAGUACAGUUGUGCUGGUAACAAGAGGAUGGCCACGGUGAUAACAGGAGGACAGCUGUGGUGAUAGCAAGAGGACGGCCAUGGUUGUGACAAGGGGACAGUAAAGGUGGGUGACCGAGGGGUGGCUACAGUGUUGACAAGAGGAUGAGCCUGAGAGGACAGCCACAGAGGUGAAAAAGGGAUGGCUGUGGUGGUGACAAGGCUGUGGUGGUGAUGAGGGGACAGCAGUGAUUCUGGUGUUACUGGGAGAAGCAAUUGCGGUGGCUGCUGGUGGUGGCCAUGCUUUGGGGACACUCUAAGAGGAGGUCACCAGCUUAAUGGUGCCUGGCAGGCUUCAUCUGCCAGGUGACACUGUGGAUGCUGUGGGGCAUGGCCACCCCAUGCCACUGUCUCUAGCUGUGGCACAUGUAGGUGUGGGGUUGUCUCCAUGCUGCCAUAGGGACAGGCUUGUUUCCUUUCUGUGUCGCUUCUGCCUGUGGUACUUGCUGGCAUCCCUGUGUCACCACAGAUGGACAUGUGUCACUAGUGUCCGCCAACACACAGGGUGACCUUGUGCCACCAGAGCUGGGACCUCUGGAUUGCCUUAGCAGCUCUGUUCCUCAUGUUCUCUUGUGACUGUGGUCCCCUUAUGCCCGUGUUCCACAUCUCCCUGUGUGCUCCAUGUCCCUUGUGUUCCCAUGUUGUCUGUAUCCUUCAUGUCCCCCUACGUCCCCCAUCUCCCUGUGUUCCCAUAUCAGCUGUGUACUCAGUGUCCCUCUGUAGCCCCUUACCAGCUGUGUUCCUUCGUCCCCCAUGUUCAGAUACCCCCUAUAUCCCGUGUCCCUCUUUGUCCCCCAUUCUCCCAUGUCCCCUGUAUUCCCCUUGUCCCGUGCCCCUGUAUCAGCUCUGUACCCAAUGUCCUUGAUGUUCCUGUGUCCCCGUGUUUCUAUAUCCCCUGUACCCCCUAUGUCCCUCGUGUCCUCCAUGCCCAGAAUAUACAGCCACAUGUGUCCCCUGUCCUGUCCCCCCUGCAGUGGGGCUGGCCCGGCUCCGUGGGGACAUGGCCUGAAGGGCACAAGAGUGGCACCUAGUCUCCAGUGGGGUGGAGGUGGCUCCGGGGUGCGGGGGGCUCAUGACUCCCCCUCGCCGUGUCCCGGUCCUUCCCCAGCCCCGGGCGGCGGAGGAGGGGCUGUUCCCGGGGGCGGGGAGGCGGGGGCAUGAUUCCCGGAGACGGUCCUGGUGCUGUUCCUGGAAUAGCAUUUCCAAAUCCCUUCCUAGGGAUAAGUUCCCGAUGCCGUUCCCGGGAACGCGUUCCGGGGAUUACAUUCCCAGUCCCGUUUCUGGGGAUGCACUCCCAAGGAUGAUGGGGCUCCCGGCGGCGUUCUCAUGGAUAACACUCCCGGUGCCGAUGCCCGGCGCCAAUCUCGGGAUACCAUUCCCGGGUAUAACCUUGGCCGUGCUGUUCCUGGGAGUUCCCUUCGCGUGUCUCUAUUCCCGACACCGAUGCGCGGUGCCAUUCCCAUGACUAACAUUCUCGAUACCGAUUCCCGGUGCCGUUCUCAUGGCAAGCGUUCACGGAUGCGAUGCCAGUUGCCGUUCCAGGGGGGUUUGUUCGUGAUCCACUGCCCGUUUCCGUUCCCUGGGGCGAUACCCCCUGCCAUUCCCACCGUUCCCGGUGCCCGUUCUCGGAGGUGAUGCCCAGUGCCGUUCCCGGGGCUACCUCUCCCAGUGCCUAUUCCCGUUCCCGGGGGCGGGGGCAGGUAGCGGCAGGUGCGCGGAGGCAGGGCCGUUGGCGGGGGCGGGGCAGCGGCGCCGGUGCUCGCACCGGCCGAGCUGCCGCCGUUGCCACCGCCGUUGCCGCCGCCAUGGCCGGUACCGGAGCCCGGUGGAUGCCGCUGGCGCUGUGUCUGGCUGUCAUCGUGUCACCGGGACGCACCGGAGAGCAGCUACACGUCUGCAAAGAGUCCGAGUACCACUAUGAGUACACAGCAUGUGACAGCUCAGGAUCGCGCUGGAGGGUGGCUGUACCACACACACCUGGACUCUGCACUGGCCUGCCUGACCCUGUCAGGGGCACUGAAUGUUCAUUCUCCUGCAAGGCGGGUGAGUUCCUGGAGAUGCAGACGCAGACGUGCCGGCCCUGCGCUGUGGGCACCUACUCGCUUGGCACUGGUGUCCGCUUCGAUGAGUGGGAUGAGGUGCCCCAUGGCUUUGCCAACGUGGCCACCAACCUGGAGGUGGAUGAUGGCUUUGGCGAUGCAGCAGAGAACUGCACAGCGUCAACAUGGGUGCCUCUGGGGGACUACGUGGCCUCCAACACAGAUGAGUGCACGGCCACCCUCAUGUAUGCUGUGAGCCUCAAGCAGUCGGGGACUGUCACCUUCGAGUACAUCUACCCUGACAGCAGCAUCGUCUUUGAAUUCUUCGUGCAGAACGACCAGUGCCAGCCCACGGUGGAGGAGUCCCGCUGGAUGCGGACGACAGAGAAGGGCUGGGAAUUACACAGCGUGGAGCUGAGCCGUGGGAACAACGUGCUGUACUGGCGGACCACCGCCUUCUCCGUCUGGUCCAAGGUGCCUAAACCAGUGCUGGUGAGGAACAUCGGCAUUACAGGGGUGGCCUUCACUUCCGAGUGCUUCCCCUGCAAGCCCGGCACUUUCGCCCCCGCGUCCGGCUCAACCGCCUGCCAGCUCUGUCCCGCCGACACCUUCUCUGGCAAAGGAGCCACCGCCUGCCAGCCCUGCGACUCUGACACCUACGCUGAGCCCGGCUCGGGGUCCUGCAAGCCACGCCCACCCUGCACGGACAAGGAUUUCUUCUACACCCACACGGCCUGCGACGCCAGUGGGGAGACCCAGCUGAUGUACAAGUGGGCAGAGCCCAAAAUCUGCAGCGAGGAGCUGCCGCAGGCGGCCCGGCUGCCAUCCUCGGGGAUCAAGACCCAAUGCCCCCCCUGCAACCCUGGCUUUGCCAAAGGCAACAGUAGCACCUGCCAGCCCUGUCCCUAUGGCUUCUAUUCCAACGGCUCCGCCUGCCUCAGUUGCCCAGAGGGCACUGAGCCGGUGCUGGGCUUGGAGUACAAGUGGUGGAACGUGCUGCCCCCCAACAUGGAGACCACCGUGCUCAGCGGCAUCAACUUCGAGUACAAGGGCAUUGCAGGCUGGGAGGUAGCUGGGGACUACAUUUACACGGCAGCUGGAGCCUCUGACAGCGACUUCAUGAUCCUCACGCUGGUGGUCCCUGGCUUCAGCCCUCCAAGCCCAGUGCUGGAGGACACAGAGAGCAGGGAGGUGGCCAGGAUCACCUUUGUUUUCGAGACGCUGUGCAGUGUUGGCUGUGAGCUCUACUUUAUGGUGGGUGUCAACUCACACACCAACACUCCGGUGGAGACAUGGACAGGCUCCACGGGGAAACAAUCCUACACCUACCUGGUGGAGAAGAACGCGACCAUGAGCUUCACCUGGGCCUUCCAGCGUACCCCCUACCACGAGGCGGGCCGGCGGUUCACCAGUGAUGUGGCCAAGCUGUACAGCAUCAACGUCACCAAUGUGCAGGGCGGGGUGGCCUCCUUCUGCCGCCGCUGUGCCCCCCAGCCCACAGGGUCCUGUGCCCCGUGUUCCCCUGGCAGUGCUGUGGACCCCAGCUCAGGCACCUGCCAGCCUUGCCCACCUGGCACCUACCUGUGGGGCCACCCCUCCGAUGGGACGCCCACCUGCCACCCCUGUGGCCCUGGCACACGCAGCAACCAGCUGCGAUCGCUAUGCUACAACAACUGCAGCCUGGCACUGGCACUGCCAGGCCAGAUGCUGCACUUCGAGUUCCCAUCGCUGGGCCAAGGUGCCGGGGUGGGCACUGGGUCCAGCUUCACCCCCAAAGGGCUGCGCUACAGCCAUCACUUCCGCCUUAGCCUCUGUGGGCAUCAGGGCAGGAAGAUGGCCUCAUGUGCUGACAAUGUGACAGCAGGUCUGGGGGGCCCUGCCCGUGUGGUUACCUCUUAUGUGUGCCAGGCCAUUCUGGUGCCCCCUGAUGUCACUGGUGCCCGUGCAGCCGUGUCUUCUCAGCCCAUCAGCCUGGGUGACCACUUGCUGGGUGUCACCACCAGCUCCGUGCUGGACGGCAUCGUGUCUCCCCCAGAGCUCUUCCCCCCCAGCCACCCUGACCUGCCUGACAUCAUCUUCUUCUUCAGGUCCAACGACAUGACACAGCCCUGCAGCAGUGGCCGGGCCACCACCAUCCGCCUGCGUUGUGACCCCCUGCGCGUUGGUACUGGCACGCUGGCUGUCCCCAGCAAAUGCCCCGAGGGCACCUGCGACGGCUGCACCUUCCAUUUCUUGUGGGUGACGGCCGAGGGAUGUCCCCGCUGCUCCAGCUCCCACCACCGCCCCAUUGUCGGCGCCUGUAUCGGCGGCGUUCAGGUAUCGCCCCGUGCCCCGGGCUGGGCUGCGGCUCCUACGGCCCCUGAACCCCCUUUCCCCUCCACCAGAAAACCACCUACGUGUGGCGAGAGCCCCGGCUGUGCCACGGCGGAGACGCCCUACCGCCGCAGGUGAUCCAGGCAUGCCGGAGCGUGGAUUUUUGGCUAAAAGUGGGAAUUUCCACUGGGACGUGCGUGGCCGUCUUGCUAGCCGCGCUCGCCGCUUAUUUCUGGAAAAAGACUCAAAAGUUGGAAUACAAAUAUUCCAAGCUGGUGAUGGACGCGGCAGCCCGGGAGACCGACGCGACGUCGCCCGACAGCUGCGCCAUCAUGGAGGGGGAGGACGCGGAGGACGAGCUGCUCUUUGCCACCGAAAUGUCACUUUUUG